rnacentral:rRNA from 1 species
CAGUAGCCGCGGUAAUACGAAGGUCCCAAGCGUUGUUCGGAAUCACUGGGCGUAAAGGGAGCGUAGGCGGCGUGGUAAGUCAGAUGUGAAAUCCCGGGGCUCAACCCCGGAACUGCAUCCGAUACUGCCAUGCUUGAGGGUUGGAGAGGUAGCUGGAAUUCUUGGUGUAGCAGUGAAAUGCGUGGAUAUCAAGAGGAACACUCGUGGCGAAGGCGAGCUACUGGACAACAUCUGACGCUGAGGCUCGAAGGCCAGGGUAGCGAAAGGGAUUAGAUACCCCCGUAGUCCCUGUCUCUUAUAC